AAUUUUGGACAAUGUUGGAAACCGUGAUCCAGCCAUCCCGCGUGUAUGAUGAAGGCCUUCGGGAUGUAAAUUACUUUUGGCAGAGAAGAAAAGGUAUCUCCUAAUCCGAGAUACUGCUGACGGUAUCUUCAGUAUAAGCACCGACUAACUACGUCCCAGCAGCCGCGGUAAUACGUAGGGGGUAAGCGUUAAUCGGAAUUACUGGGCGUAAAGCGUGUUCAGGCGGUUCGAAAAGAAAGAUGUGAAAUCCCAGGGCUCAACCUUGGAACUGCAUUUUUAACUGCCGAGCUAGAGUAUGUCAGAGGGGGGUAGAAUUCCACGUGUAGCAGUGAAAUGCGUAGAUAUGUGGAAGAAUACCGAUGGCGAAGGCAGCCCCCUGGGAUAAUACUGACGCUCAGACACGAAAGCGUGGGGAGCAAACAGG
rnacentral:rRNA from 1 species